GACGAACGCUGGCGGCGUGCUUAACACAUGCAAGUCGAACGGAAAGGCCCUGCUUGCAGGGUACUCGAGUGGCGAACGGGUGAGUAACACGUGGGUGAUCUGCCCUGCACUUCGGGAUAAGCCUGGGAAACUGGGUCUAAUACCGGAUAGGAGCCAUUUUUAGUGUGAUGGUUGGAAAGUUUUUUCGGUGUAGGAUGAGCUCGCGGCCUAUCAGCUUGUUGGUGGGGUAAUGGCCUACCAAGGCGGCGUCGGGUAGCCGGCCUGAGAGGGUGGACGGCCACAUUGGGACUGAGAUACGGCCCAGACUCCUACGGGAGGCAGCAGUGGGGAAUAUUGCACAAGGGGCGCAAGCCUGAUGCAGCGACGCCGCGUGGGGGAUGACGGCCUUCGGGUUGUAAACUCCUUUCGCUAGGGACGAAGCUUUUUGUGACGGUACCUAGAGAAGAAGCACCGGCUAACUACGUG
rnacentral:rRNA from 1 species